UGUUCUAUGGCUUAGUUGAUCAAAGCGCCGGUCUAGUGAAUACGGAGUCGUGGGUGUUCGAAUCCUACCAGAACGA
rnacentral:tRNA from 1 species